rnacentral:tRNA from 1 species
GUCCCCAUCGUCUAGGGGUCUAGGACACUGGCCUUUCACGCCGGCAACAGGGGUUCGAAUCCCCUUGGGGACGCCA